rnacentral:lncRNA from 1 species
GAAAAGAGAAAAAAAAAAGGAGAGAGGGAAGGGAAAACGACGUCGUUUUGCAGAGGGAAGAAAACGACGUCAUUUUGCAGAGGGGAGAAAACGACGUCGUUUUGGAAAGGAAAAAACGGUGUCGUUUUGCAAGGAGGAAAACGACGCCGUUUUGAGAAAAAAAACUGGGGUGAUUCAAGUAGGAGGCGGGGGAAGGCAGGAAGGAGGAAAGGACGGAAAAAGAGGGAAAAAGGGGAGCAGAGGAGAAGGGGAGCGGGAGAGAGAAAGAGGAGAGGAAGGAAGGUUCCAGAAGGAGAGAGGAAGGAAACGGAGCGGGGAGAAGAGGAAAUCGCGGACGGUGAGAGCAGAUUCGACCGCAAGGAAGAAAAAUGGAAACGGGAGGUACGGUAAUGAACUCUAAAUUUGUGUGUUGAUUUGAGUGUGAAAUGGUUGGAUGUGUAGCGUGUGUAGUAACGGGUUACGGAGGUAGUGACGUACGGAAGGGACGGGUGAGAAUGUGUAGUGAGGCGGGGGAAAGAAAGUGGACCGAGGGAGGAUCGCAGAGGAGAGAGGGAGAAGGUGGUGUGCGGGUAAGGGAGAGAGAUAGGAGCACGGAAUGAGUGGAGGCCAUGAGAGAGAAAGGAGAGGUGCAAACAAAAGAGGUAACCGCGUGAGGAUCGCGGGAGGAGAGAGUGAGAAGGUGACGGUACGGACGGGAAACGGUGUGGGGGUGAGUGAGGGGUGUGAGCGACGCAGAGGGAGAUAGGGAGACGUUGUGGUGUGAGGACAUAGUCGGAGGGAGAGAUAGGUGGAGGCAGUGGGGGAAAAGCAGGGGAAGGGAUGAGUCCGUGGAGUGAGUGAGGCGAGAAGGACAGUGUGAGGUGAUGGUGUGGCGGGUAAUUGUAGCCGAGGGAGAGAUAGGGCAAGGCAGUGGAGGAACGCUGGUGGGAGGAAGAACCCGCGGGGUGAGUGAGGUGAGAAAGAUGGUGUGACGCGACGUUGUGGCGGGAGAUUGUAGCAGAGAGAGAGAGUUAGGGAGGGGCGGGGAGUGAAGGUUAGAGAAGGGAAAGAUCCACCAGAUGAGGGAGAUCCACCGGGGGAGUGAGACGCUUUGGGAAGUGGAGUUGGUUAGUUGGAACCUUAGGGGAAGAGAGACGGAGUGAGUGGGGGCAAUUAGGAGAUGUCGCAGGUGUGCGUGCGUGGCCUGGUAUAGGUCGAGAGGUGGUUAGUGGUCACCGAUAUCGGUGACGGAAAAGAAGGACCAGUGUAUGUGUGAGUGGCCUGGUAUAGGUCGUGAGAUGGCUAACGGUCGUCGAUGGUGGUGACGGGAGAGAAUGAUCAGAGUAUGUGUGAGUGGCCUGGUAUAGGUCGUGAGAUGGCUAAAGGUCGCCGAUGGUGGUGACGGGAGAGAAUGACCAGAGUGUGUGUGAGUGGCCUGGUAUAGGUCGAGAGAUGGCUAACGGUCACCGAUGAUGGCGACCCAAGUGAAUGAAAAUGGUGUGUGUGUGUGUGUGUGAGUGGCCUGGUAUAGGUCAGGGGAUGGCUAACGGUCACCGAAGGUGGUGACGAGAGAGAAUGAUUGGAGUGUGCGUGUGUGGCCUGAUAUGGGGUCGAUAGGUGACGGAUGGUCGCCGCUGUUGGUAAUGGAAAUGAGUGAGAUUUGUGUGCGUGUGUGGCCCACUAGGGGUCGAUAAGUGGUUAAUGGUUGCCAAUCUUGGCGGUGAAGGGUAUCCCUGGCACACCUGGAGUGUCGUCGGGAACGGACGCCUAGGGUAGGUAGAAUAGUAGGUGUAGGAGGGAAAGUGUUGAGUUCAGUAAUGAACGAUUGGUAGAGGCAUAGGAUUUAUAUUGUUGCAUUUCACGCAUGUAUUUUGAGUUUUACUGUACUGAGUUAAAGGAAUUCACUCUUUCCUUUUUACAGAUGAUGUAGGGACGGAGUCCGGAUCGAGGCCAUUGGAUUCUGAUCCUAGUGUGUAGAGUACAGGAUGAGGAGUUUCGUUUUAUUUUGUCUGAAUGGAAUAUGUAGAAUUGAUGAUAGCAUAGAUUUUGAGCAUGGUUGUAUGGUAUGAGGUGUCUUGUACAUGGUUGUAAGAUUGUCUUGAUCAUUGAAUGAGGGAUUAUGCUAUUGUUUCCUUGUGCAUGACCGUUUGGUUAUGAAAGUUGGUUGUUUGUUAAUUACGCCUAACAGAAAAAAAAA